GCCCACAGCCCCCAGCAGCGUGGCGCAGCCUAGCAGCGCCAGGUCGCAGCGCCGCCGGGCGCCGUGUCCCCACCGAGCGGGGGGCGCGGACGGCGUCGGCUCCCACGGCGCCCGCGCCCCCGGGGAGGGCUCGGCAGGCAGUGGCACUGAGAGGUAGGACGGGGUCGAGUAGGGGGAAGGGGGCACGCUGCUGCCUCCAUCCUCUGCCUCCGCGAACUCCUCUGCAACCGGAGAGGGCCAUCACUCCGCUGCAGGGCUGGCCAGGGCCCCACGGGGACUUGUGCCAAGGGACAGCCCCCGAUGACCCCUCCAACAGCAAGACCAAGACCCACGAGCAUCGUUCUUGAAUCUGUCUCCCGGAGAAGCCUCAGAGAAGGGUGGUCCCUGCCCCUGGAAAUGACCCCCCACGCCCCAGGGGCCACCAUCUCCCUUCCCAGGAAGGCCUUCCACUCACUGGCCCAGUGAAACCUGGUCUCUUCGCUCAGCCCCAGGAGGCUCACCCCUUUGGCCAGGGAACCCCCACCCCCUUACAAGAACCCAGGCUCUUACCCAUCUCAUUGAGGCUGGCGAAGCCAGGGGCGAUGGGUGUGUGUUUGGGGGACUUGCCCAGGUUGGGGGCACUUGAUGACCACCCUUUGCUUCCUUCCCCCAGCCCCUUCAGC
rnacentral:lncRNA from 1 species